UGUACACGAAUAAAUCACAUUUAUUCUUAUGUGAAUCAAAGUGAACUGUUUUAAUUAGUUAAUACCAAUGUUUGAAAAUAUACACUCAUUUUUCUUACAAUGUAAGUUUUACCCUCAAAAUAAGUGUUAAAAUGUUAUGCCGAUAUGAGGCCUUUGUUUGCCGAGCUAAACAGGCCAGAGUUACCACCCUUUGAAUAUGAC